AUGAACGCUGGCGGCGUGCCUACCACAUGCAAGUCGAGACGUGAGCCCGAUUUCGGUUGGGUGAAAGUGGCCGAACGGGUGCGGUAACACGUUGGUGACCUGCCCCGGAGCGGGGAUAACUCUGGGAAACCAGAGCUAAUACCUCCAGAUGUUUGAGGGUUUAGACGCCUCAAACUAAAACUCCGGUGCUUUGGGAGGGGCCUGCGGGCUAUCAGCUAGUUCUGGUGGGUAAAGGCUCACCAAGGCGAAGACGGCUAGGGGCGUGAGAGCGUGACCCCCACAAGGGAACUGUAGAAGAAACGGUCCCUACUCCUACGGGAGGGCGGCAGUGAGGAAAUUGAGCAAUGGGCGCAAGCCUGACUCAGCGACGCCGCGUGGAUGAUGACGGCCUUCGGGUUGUUAAAAUCCUUUUCUGGGGUGAAGAUAAUGACGGUACCCCGAGGAGAUAAGUUCCGGCUAAACUACGUGCCAGCAGCCGCGGUAAAACGUAGGGACAAGCGUUAUCCGGAUUCACUGGGCGUAAAGCGCAUGUAGGUGGCCUUUCAAAGUUGGACGUGAAAGCUCCCGGCUUAACUGGGAGAGGUCUGUUCAAAACUGGGAGGCUAUGAGGAUGGAACAGGAGAGGCGGAAUUCCCUGUGUAGUGGUGGAAUGCGUAGAUAUCGGGAGGAACACCAGUGGCGAAAGCGGCUCCUCUGGUCCAUACCUGACACUGAGAUGCGAAAGCGUGGGGAGCGAACGGGAUUAGAUACCCCGGUUAGUCCACGCUGUAAACGAUGGAUACUAGGUGUAGGCGGUCAUUAACCCGUCUGUGCCCGAAGCCAACGCGUUAAGUAUCCCGCCUGGGGACUACGGCCGCAAGGUUAAAACUCAAAGGAAUUGACGGGGGGCCCGCACAAGCAGCGGAGCGUGUGGGGUUCAAUUCGACGCAACGCGAAGAACCUUACCUGGGCUCGAACGGGCUGGGUUCAACGGCGGUGGAAAACCAUGUUACCCCGCAAGGGGGUCCCAGUCGAGGUGCUGCAUGGCUGUCGUCAGCUCGUGUCGUGAGAUGUUGGGUUAAGUCCCGCAACGAGCGCAACCCUUGUCCUGUUAGUUGAUCACAGGCACGUGGUCAAGGCCGGAACACUCUAGCGAAGACCCGCCUCGGAUAACGGGGAGGAAUGGUGGGGAUGAACGCUCAAGUCCUCAUGGCCUUUAUGUCCAGGGCUACACACGUGCUACAAUGGCACGGUACAACAGCGCAAGCGAACUCGCGAGAGGGGAGCAAUCGCUAAAAACCGUUCUCAGUUCGGAUUGGAGGCUGCAACUCGCGACUGCAUGAAGCUGGAAUCGCUAGUAAUCGGCGGAUCAGCAGCGCCUGCCUGUGAAUACGUUCCCGGGCCUUGUACACGCCGCCCGUCACAUCACGAAAGUGGACCUGUACUAGACAGUGCCGGUGAGCUACCGCAAGGACGGCAGCCGGCCCAAGGUACGGCCCAUGAUUGGGGUG
rnacentral:rRNA from 1 species